rfam:Auraticoccus monumenti strain MON 2.2 genome assembly, chromosome: I
GGGGGUGAUCGGUUUCGACUUGGGACAGUAGUCCCAGGGGAAGCGGGCCGAGAAUCCAAGGUCAACUCGUAAAUGUCCCUUGGAAACCAACAAGUGCCGAUUCUAAGCGCACUGACUUCGCUCUCGCUGCCUGAGCAGUGACCGAAGCGUCAGUCCGGGUGCCGUCUCCGACCCGGGUACUGGCGUCAUCUAGGAGACUUGCUCGUCGCGCUACGCCUUAGGGCGCGCCGGGGACUUCACUAGGGCUGGGCCUGUCCACGACGUGCUGGUGCGAGCGUGGGGGCCGAGAAAACGUCUAGCCAGCUGCGCCCGGAGAAGCCCUGGUUCACUUUCCGAGGACGCGGGUUCGAUUCCCGCCACCUCCACCC